UGAGCUUUUAAGUUUAUGACAAGAGCGCGUCGCGUGAGGGGGAAGAAAAAAAAGCUGAAAACUUUCCGGUUUUGUCACUCUGGGAUUCUGGUGUGCAUGGGAUAAAAAAUACAGGAUAGCCCGUAGAAUAGCGACACCAGAGGUGUUCAGUAUUCACAUUAGUUUUCACUCUGUCUGACUGUUGAAGUGUCAUGUUCCGACCGACAUUCGUCGUAGCUCUGUUGGUCAGUUGCUGGCUUAAGGAUACUGGCUGCUCGGAGUGGUGGAUUUUACAGCACGGCGCGUCGGCGUCGGCCGAGAUCAAGUAUAAAAAUGCCAGUUUCGACACAAAUCCUGAAAAGCUCCAGGACCAACAGGCUCUCCAGUUUCCUUCGAAACAUUUCCAAGGUACGGCGGCGGAAAAUGGUCAAGAUUAUGCUGGUCCGAAUAUCUUGGGGGUCGAAGGAUCCUUACCGGAAAAUUCAAACCAGGAAAAACAGCCCAGGGUAGAAGUACCUCUACUCUCGGUAGCUUCCGAUACUGGGAAUCUCUUCAACUUCGAAUCAGCACUUGGAUUUGAGAUAGAAGAUUCAACGGGCGUUCCCUCGGAACUUUCAGGAGCAAAAGGACCUAGCACAUUGAUGACAGAACAAAUGACAGGAAUAGGAACUGAUGUGACAGAGAGUGGAGAACCUCACCUUACCACCCGCGACCCCCCGCAGCAGUCGCAAGAAAAUUCCUAUUUUACUGACGGAUGGAAUUACGUGAAAUUAACUAUGUUAAACGUCAUAACGAGCGACUACGCCAUUAACAAUGUCGAAAAAGUGCGCAGAGUUCUCAACAAUAUUGUCUUCCGCUAUUUUCUAAACUCCAUAGUACCGGAUCCCAAAACCCCGGUUCCGGACAACGUCCACGACGAAUUCGGUGGCAUCCUCCUCAAGGUCCUCUUCGGUCAGAAGAAAGGCCCGGCCGUUAUCGACCUCAUCAAACUUAUAGCCGACAACGUCCAAAACGUCGAAGGGACAGACAAGUACAAGAUCAACACCUUUUGUAUGCUCAGGUCCAUGAAAACCGUCAUGAAAUCCUUCAAACGCAGCUCAACUUCGAAAUCGGCGAGCACGAGGCGCAGUAAUAGUGACGUCUCGCAGCGCCGAUUGAACCGAGGUAACAGUCUCACUGGAAGUAUUAGUAGGGGCUCUAAUGGAGAUUCUAAUGGAGGUUCCAAUGGAGGUUCCAAUGGAGGUUCCAAUGGAGGUUCUAAUGGAGAUUCCAAUGGAGGUUCCAUCAGAGAUUCCAGCGGAGGUUCCAAUGGAGGCUCUAAUAGAGACACUAAAGGGAGUUUCAAUUUGAGCUCCUGCGGGAGUAUCAAGAAGAGUUUGGAUCGGAACCUCAGCCGAAGUCGAACCCAAGUAUGGGAUCCAAAUGAGAAGGCGGAUGAAGAGCUCGACCAUGUGGACCCGGCAAGCGUGGGUUGUAUGAAAAAAGGAAUUCUCGAUUUCCAAAGGAUUUUUGGGACCAAACCGUUCGAUGGAUUUGACGACGGCGUCGGCGGGAUUUUCUUGAAGGUGGCGGCAAACCACUCCAAAGCGACUCUGUACGCGAACACGGUCAAAGCGGUCGUCAAAAACGUCACUGUGGUACGUCAAAAGAUCGGGAAGAAAGAAAUAAAACACUACCACAUUGACUUCCUGGGUUUCGCCUCGUCGCCCGGGAUCGAAAAGUUAACGGACUCCAUCCCUGGUGUCUUUGGUGAGAUAAUCCGACGUAUCACUUUGGAGGUCGCCAAUGCUCCGAAAUCAUCUCCUGACAAUCCUGAAAAUCGGUGAUUCUUAGGCUAAAGUAGCGAGUUUUGUCCUUAACUCUGCAGUUCGGCCAAAAGCUUACCUUAUUUUGAUGGGCUUAAGCAAUAGGCCUGUCGCAAGCUUUUGAAAGAGCAAAAAUGAGUGUUGUUCAUAUCAGUAAAUGUAUCAAAAAUCACGAUUAGCGCAUUGGCAACGUUUGAAAUGCCCUCCUAAUUUCACAAUCUGCGUGAGAAAUUUGAGUUUCUUUUAGAGUUUCCCGCUACAAAAACGAUACUGCGGCACAGGUGAACAUUUCACCAGAAGUGUCGUUCUAGCCAACCCCUGUGCACUAGUAUACUACACAAUAUUCAACAUGACCGACAACAAUCCGCCGAAACACGUAUGCCUGGACGAGAUUCUAACCAUUUGUUGACAAACCAGCGUGUUUACAUUCACGAUUUCCUCGCGUUGAUAAAGAACCGUUUUGGUUGCAUCUUAGGCUUCCGAUUGCGAUUUGCGCACGGAAGCGUCAGCCAUGUUGGGUACCGCUAAGGGUUGCGGUUGAAUGGAACGACUCCUCUAACGAAAUGUUUACCUGUGCCGUGGUAUUGUUUUUGAAGCGGGAACCUCAAAAAAACGCAAAUUUCUCACGCAGAUUGUGAAGUUAGUAGGGCAUUUCAAACUUUGCCAAUGCGCUCAUCGCGAUUUUUGAGGCAUUUACUGAUAGAAACAACUCUUAUUUUUGCUCUUGCCGCGAUCACACGCUGAAUGUGGGAGCUGAAUGUGGCUUGAAUGUGGAAGUCAUCGGUCCGAUGCCUGAAGCCUGAUCGUUGCUGAAUUUUGCGCGUGACGCGCAAAAUUCAGCAACGAUUCUCAGCAACCAUCGGACUAAUGUUGGAUUUUUCUGAGCUAUUCGAGUAGAUUUGAUACACAUCUGGAUGAAAAUAACUCGAAUUCGCGAAAUUUCAGCCGUUGGGCGAUGACUGCUGACUUCCACAUUCAGCUGCUAAAUUCAGCGUGUGAUUGCGGCAUCUAGCAAAAGUUUGCAAUAGGCCCAUUGGAUCAUACAUACCAACAUGGGUAGUUUUGAAAAGAGACAAUAUCCACGAUUUUUGAAAUCGAAUAAUGCCUAACGUCAUUGCUCGAAAAAAACGUAUGGCUAAUUUUACCAGGAGAAUGGUAAAUUCCAUCCUUGGUUUAUUUGAUUUUUGACACAGUGAUACUGUAGGGUGAAGAUGAGCAGACACCUGGUAUAACAUUCGCCUUACUUUUAAAGACUGCGAUUGAGGUUACUGUCUUUGCAACCACAGAGUCUGUUGGUGAUUACCAUACUCAUACCACUAUCGCUGAAACCAUACUUUUUAGUGUCCCUAGUUUUUCUUCUCUAUGUGAAGAAUAUUUUUUGAAAAUUUCCAGCGAAAGCGUUAGUUUUCCCCCUUUGUUAUAGUAAAAUAGGAACUUUUGUCACAACUUUAACCAUACCAUGAGUUUGAUACACAUUGAAGAGCGUUGUUGAAGUUACAGAUUUUUAUGAUAAACCAUGUAAAAUGUUUUUAUGUAACAGAAGAUUAUCAUGUCAAAUUUAACUCAUUCUUCACCCAAAGUUCUUUUUAUUUUUUUGAUUUUUUGAUUUUUUUAUACACCGGAAGACCUUGAUUUUAAAUUAGAAUUCAAAGACUUUCUAGAUAGUUUAUGGUAGACUCUAAAUAUUAAAGUAUACAUGAAAAUUGUGUAAU
rnacentral:lncRNA from 1 species